GCACAUUGAAACACCAGUUCCCAUACAAUCACUGAGGUCAAGCAAUGUUGAGCUUGGUCAGUACCUAGAUGAGUGACUGCAUUGGAAUACCAGAUGCU